UCAAGAAGCGCAUGCAUAACAGCGUCCCACCUCCUCACUUUGAAAAGUUUCUCUCAUCACGCCACGAGCUCUACUGUCUCGUCUGCCUUGUGCUCCUCUCUCUCCUUUCGCCCUCUCAUCGUUACAGGUUCUAUAUAGAGCGAGACGUAGGUACGUAUGGGCCGUAACGCGUACUCUGCCCGUCGCGUGCGUGUCCCCCGUGUGUUUGCCGAGCUGCAUCGCAUCAGCGGCCCGCACAGCACUUGGCCCGGAACACCCUACCUCCGCUGCUGUUCUCGCAUGGCCGUCACACUAGCCGUAGACAGUCGGCAGACGGCAGUCUCCAGAACACGGGCAGAGUAAUAGAAAAGGUGGCAAGGUGGAGGAGUCAUGGUUCUCAACGCAAAGUUGGUGUUCUCAGUGGCGUUAACGCUAUUCCUCUUCGGCGUGAAUGAGGCGUCGUCAGAAGAGACAUCGAAAAAGGAUUUACCAGAAUACUGCUCUAAAGGAGGCGAAAUUGACUGGAUGGCUGUUGCGGGCAAAGCCUUCGAACUUUACCAAAACUAUGCAUCAAAGGAAACAGCUUCAAGGGCGCGCACACCGUUAGAAGACAUGCUAGUCGCCGCACUUACGCGAAAAGGAAGACAGUGCAGUGCCACCUGCAACGAGUGAAUCCACUGCAAGUGCUGAUGCCAAGGACAGUGCUGGACAACCGGACAUCUCGGCCGCCCUCCUUGGAUCGCUACUUUCGAACCUAGGGAACGCUGGCGCUUCUUCCAAGAAAUCAGCUGACGCUGAUCCAUGGCCGGCCUUCAAGACAAUGCUUGAUGGACUCGGUGCGUUGAACGGCAAAGAAUCGUCUUCCGGAAGUUCAGGACCGGGGGGUCUCGACCUGUCCAAGCUAGCGCCCUUAGUCAUGCAAGCACUGCCGUCUUUGCUUGGUUCCCAGGGUAGUGGUUCCCAGGCAAGCGUCUUGUCUUUGCUGGGCUCGCUUAUGGGCAACCAGCAAGGCGGACAAGGCCUGGAGAAAAUGUUUUCCCAAGUGCUUAAGAGCAUCUUCAAUCCCGACAGGCAAGGAAAGGAUGGCAAUUGGCGGAUGGUUUGGAGCCGGCUCUGUCUGGCGUUAUAGAAUCCCUCCUCAAGGCUGGCCUUAAGGAGGAUGCUUCAUCAAAGGAUACACCCAAAGAUACUGAAAGCUCUACGUUACGGACCGAAUUAUAAGUUAAUAAAUUAUUUUUCUGAAUAUAA